GAUGCGAAUGUUUCGAUAGCGUUAUAGCAUACGCAGUCGGCUGUGUAAUCCCAUACUCGGCGGAUGUGAAGGAUGAUUUUGUUCCAGAAGUGGUCCGGUAGAG
rnacentral:sRNA from 1 species